rnacentral:rRNA from 1 species
AUACGGAGGGUGCAAGCGUUAUUCGGAAUCACUGGGCGUAAAGCGCGCGUAGGCGGAUAUUUAAGUCUCAUGUGAAAGCCCUGGGCUCAACCUGGGAACUGCAUGGGAUACUGGGUAUCUAGAAUACAGUAGAGGGUAGUGGAAUUUCAGGUGUAGCGGUGAAAUGCGUAGAGAUCUGAAGGAACAUCAGUGGCGAAGGCGACUACCUGGACUGAUAUUGACGCUGAGGUGCGAAAGCGUGGGGAGCAAACGGGAUUAGAAACCCUAGUAGUCC